UACGUAGGGGGCAAGCGUUAUCCGGAUUUACUGGGUGUAAAGGGAGCGUAGACGGCGAUGCAAGUCUGAAGCGAAAGGCGGGGGCCCAACCCCCGGACUGCUUUGGAAACUGUAUGGCUGGAGUGCAGGAGAGGUAAGUGGAAUUCCUAGUGUAGCGGUGAAAUGCGUAGAUAUUAGGAGGAACACCAGUGGCGAAGGCGGCUUACUGGACUGUAACUGACGUUGAGGCUCGAAAGCGUGGGGAGCAAACAGG
rnacentral:rRNA from 1 species